GACGAACGCUGGCGGAGUGCCUAAUACAUGCAAGUAGGACGCAGUUGCGAACGGGUGAGUAACGCGUAGGUAACUGCAUAUUAGCGGGGGAUAACUAUUGGAAACGAUAGCUAAUACCGCAUACUAGUAGAUGGACCUGCGUUUUAUUCAGUCGUAGGUAGGGAAAUGGCCUACCCAGGAGACGAUACAUAGCCGACCUGGAAGGUGGAGCGGCCACCUUGGGACUGAGACAGGGCCCAGACUCCUACGGGAGGCAGCAGUAGGGAAUCUUCGGCAAUGGGGGGAACCCUGACCGAGCAACGCCGCGUGAGUGAAGAAGGUUUUCGGAUCGUAAAGCUCUGUUGUUAAGGAAGCGGUAUCUAACCAGAAAGCCACGGCUAACUACGUGCCAGCAGCCGCGGUAAUAC
rnacentral:rRNA from 1 species